CAUAAAGGCUCAAAAAUACACACGCUGUCAGCUUGGAGGUUUUUUUCCCAACUGUCAUUCAGCCAAAGGUGAUAGAGGGUGUGGUCUACCUAUCUCUCCCUGGCUCCUCCUGUCCAUAUGCUGAAGCAUCCUUGGACAAAGUACUGCAUCCAUCAAAAUGAAUCCUCCAAGACUUCUGGCUCCAGCUCUCCUCCCACCUCAAACACCUCCCCACUCCAGGCCUUGAAUUUCACAGAC